CAAACACCACAAAUCAACCUUUUCUAUUAAUAUUAAAUCAAUAAUUAAUCAAUAAAAACUCAUCUCAAGUCCUUCACCUGCACAGAGUGAAUAACAGAAACUAAGUAAAAUAUGAAGACACGUUGGUUUUAUGUUGUCAGAAGUCUGGAGUUUAACUUAAAAAAAAUGAAUAUGAAAGAACAAAGUGUCAAUUAACAGGAUAUUAAUGAACAAAAGUAAAGAAAAUCAAGAUAAAAACAUAGUUAACAAAACUGUAAAACAAAAACGAAAUAUUAACACACAAAUGUUCCGAUUAUCUGGACAUUAACGCACAAAAUUCAUACAUGAAACUUUAUUUUAAAAAAUAUUUUUAAAAAAUCAAUAUUAUUUGUAACAAAAUAAAUAAAAAUUGUUAACAAAUAAUAAUAAUAAAUGAAUAAAUAUGAAUGCUUAAAACUGUUUAAAAAUAAUAAAUAUUAAUGUGCAAAACUGUUAAAAAUAUUUAAAUAAUAAUAAUAACAACAAUAAUAAUAAAUAUUAUUGGCUAAAAUUGUUAAAAAAUUAUUGAAAAAUAAAUAAUAAUAAUUAUAAUAAAUAACUAUUAAUUCACAAGUGUAAAAAAUCAUAAAAAUCAAAUAAAUAAUAUUAAUAACAAAUCAAUAUUAAAACUAUAAAUAAAUAAAUACAACUGUUAAAAUAAUAAUAAUAAACAUCAAGGCAUAAAAGUGUUUAAAAAAUUAUAAUAAGAAAUAUUAACCCAAAAGUACCAAUAACCUGGAUGCUAUGCCCAAUCUACAUUUUAAUAAUAUAUUUAUAGUAAAUUUGUAAUUUAUAUGUAAUUGAAGACAGAAUCUGUCUUCUAUAAAUUUGCCAUAACUGUCUACCAUCACGUUGAGAUGUUUCAUGGGCUUAGUUCUUCAUAUAUCUGACAGGUUUCCAUCACGUUGAGAUGUUUCAUGGGCUUAGUUCUUCAUAUAUCUGACAGGUUUCCAUCAUGUUGAGAUGUUUCAUGGGCUUAGUUCUUCAUAUAUCUGACAGGUUUCCAUCACGUUGAGAUGUUUCAUGGGCUUAGUUCUUCAUAUAUCUGACAGGUUUCCAUCACGUUGAGAUGUUUCAUGGGCUUAGUUCUUCAUAUAUCUGACAGGUUUCCAUCACGUUGAGAUGUUUCAUGGGCUUAGUUCUUCAUAUAUCUGACAGGCUUCCAUCACGUUGAGAUGUUUCAUGGGCUUAGUUCUUCAUAUAUCUGACAGGUUUCCAUCACGUUGAGAUGUUUCAUGGGCUUAGUUCUUCAUAUAUCUGACAGGUUUCCAUCACGUUGAGAUGUUUCAUGGGCUUAGUUCUUCAUAUAUCUGACAGGUUUCCAU